AAGUAUACUAAAUUACAUGUAAAUUGUAAUGAGAUUCAUUUGUAUCACUAGAUCAAAUAAUCUACCACACACAAAAGUAUAUAAAGUAAUAUUCUAUUUAAAGUUUAAUAUAAAACAAAAAACUCUCAUUCCAUGUAUCGUGACAACAUCUUGCCUAAGCAAGUAUUACACUAGAUUACAUGAUAAAUUUCUACUUCUAAUUUUACCGUGAUGUAUACAUUCACGAGCUUUCAUUUUUAUCACCUAAAGUAUAACUAUUUUGUAUGGAACUCAAACUUGAAGAGUGAUAUUGCUUUCUCUACUUUACAUGACAAUAUAAUGUAGUUUUUCUAUCAUCCGAUGCUUCCUCAUAUUCAGGCUGCACAAUCCAACUGAAGCACUCCUCAACAACAUGUGAUGAAUUUAUUAGACCUUCCAUGAUCAUCUGAAGCAUGAUUAACAUAUGAAGAAAGUUAAAUAUCUAUGUUAAACUAAUAACUGCAACUACACAAACCUAUAAAGGCCACUACUACAAAAUUGGCAUAACACAAAUAUAGACCCAAAUGGAGGCUCAACAAUUUGCACAAGAGACUCAAUCCUAUAUUGUGAUUAUAAUUUAAAUCCCUACAAAUUCAAUUCAUGAAGUAAUAAUGAAAUUACAACUUGUCUCACAAAGAAAAACCUUCAACACAUUAACAAGUAAUGAUAAAGUAAGCAAGUAAGUAAUUAAUGAUUAAGUAACAAAAUUAGUGGUGUACUUUCCACAAAUAACGUAUCAAAAAGACUAAAAUCUAAUCUAAUCAAGUACAAUUCCUCAAGCUUGACCUGACCUGGGGCAGCUCAAAACUGGAAGCACCCCUUUGACUCUUGACACGAGAGUUCAUUUUUUUUUUUGCUUCCUUUUUUAUUUGUUCUGAAAACAUUUAAGCACAAAAAAUAUUAGAAUCCUUAACAGCACGAACUAACAACCAAAACUGCAGGAAGAUUAUGUAUUGGCUACCCCUUAACAAAGAUGACUUAACAGUUUAUCGUACCAACUCUAAGUGUCAUUUCCCAAAAGUAUCAUAUAUACCAAUCUCAACUCAAAUUCUAGCGACUUAAGUUCAACAAUUGUCUAUCAUAUAAAUUUGACAAUAAUAAACACUCAACUCGUAACAGCAGCUCUGAAUUCUUAACAAAGCGGUCUUCAUUCCACUACUAAAUUAACCUUCACAAUUAAAUAUUAACUCACUUAGUUCAAAUCUCAUUCACUCUAACUCUAACUUAAGGCUUGAGUUUUAUUAGGAUAUGAUUUAUUACUACUUAAUUAUUCAAAGUAUCAGAACUUUCUAAAAUAGCUAUAGAAGCAAUAUAUGAACACUAACAUCUUUUACAUGUUAUAUAGACACCAACGUCAGUUGUUUAAGGGCACUAGUUAGUUUCCAAACAAAGUGGCUCACCCAUUAAUUAGUCUACCACAACUAAUGUAAAAUGAAAACAUACUUUUAUUCAAAAUUAACCCACCGAAAAAUAGGAAAUAGUCCUCUGACUCCAAUUUAAAAGGUUGACCCAAAUGCACUUAAGCUUAUAACAACACUAUUGCUAUCAGGUUCUUCUAAAUUCCAAAUCAAGGUUCUUUUGCACUUAAAGCUUGACUCAUAUUUCAACUUUACAAGACUAAUAGACCAUAAGCUAAUUACUGUGAUGUUAAGUACUCACUAAAAAUGCCAUCCAUUAUAAAUCUUAUAACUAACAAAAAAAACAAGUAAGCUGCACAAUUUAUUAAGGUUAACAAACAAGAAUAUAAAUUAAUACUUCCAAAACAGAUCCUAAUUAUCCUUUGGUUACUACUUCCAAAACAGAUCCUGUAAUUAAAGGACUAGGAUUGUUUCCAACAGCUCUUGUUCUUACAAAUCAGAUUUUAUAGUUGAGAACUCAGUUCAGUGGGUGUAUUGACUCUUGACAUGAGAGCUCCUUUUUUCUUGUAUGCUUACUUUUUCAUUUGUUCUGAAAAACAUUUAAGCACAAAAAAUAUUUCAACAAUUGUCUAUCAUAUAAAUUUGACAAUAAUAAACACUCAACUAAUACCAUAUCAUAAAUCCAUUGAAGUCAUAUAGCACACAAAGCUGCAAGAAGCAUGAAGGUUCAUACUUAUUAUAUAUAAUAGCACCAAAUACCAAUUCCACACUCACAUAUUUCACCAAAACAGGGUAGCAUAGUGUCCAUAUUUCACAAAAAACAAUUCCUAGUACCUCUAGUUCAAGUUUACAAAUCUUUACUCAGGUGUUUUUAUUGGACUUUUAAUACAAGGAUAUAAGUCUAUCUAUCUGAACGAGAACUUCAGAGAACUAUCAGCAGGAGCUAUGAAUUGAUUGGGUCUUAACACACAAGAUAUGGGCAUUUUAAGGUAGAAAUUGGGAGGAACUUUAACCAACACAACAUGAUUUCAAAUAUACACAUCCAAAUAGAAAAACCUCAAAAAACAUGUCAGUAUUAUUGUUGAUCUAAAAAUAGCAAUCAAACUGAACAUUUACAUGUUUCCCUUGAACUUGAACCACACCUAAGCACAAUGAAUGUGUCCAAUGCCAAGCUCAUCUUUACACAGACAACUGAGCUGAAUUAAAUCUCCACUUUGUAGCACCAACAUUUUGAGCUGAAUUAAACUUUACACACACAAAGAGAGAAGUACACGAGUAGAGAGAGGAGUUUGACAUGUGCCCUUGUUAAGAUUGAACAGAAACAUGUCUUUCUCAUAGUUUUCACACAUGUUAAGAUUGUAAAUCAUAUAAUCAAUUGUCAUCUAGGGAAUUUGAUUAAAACGUUAGACAUGAAUUCUACUUAAAUGAACAAACCCUAAUAUUAAUUACAGCAUUGCCAGAAAAUAAAGAAAAUAAAAUCAUAUCCUAAGCAUUCAUAAGAUAAAAUUGAAAAGAAAAAAAAAAUCAAAUCUCUAAGCAAAGUUAAAAUAAAUUGAAAAUAAAUCCUAAUUCUCUCAAUCAAAUGUUAAAUCAGAAAAUAGGCAAUUACUUGAAACGAUGAGAAAGAAAAUACCUUCAAAUGAGAUAUUGAGAAGUGUGAUUCCUACAAAUGAGAAGUGUAAAUCUGAAAACAAGAAAGAGAAUAAAGCUGAUAAAUCACAACCAGAGAGCUUCAAUUCGAUUUCAGAAAUCACAACCAGGGUAUUUGUGUGACUAGGGUUUAGAUUUUCGUUGCAAGGAAAGGUUUGCGAAUUGCGAUAAGGAAGAAGAAUCGAUAUGGAACAAGAAGAAGGAAUCUAUGGAAGAAGAGUUUUGCGAUAAGGAAGAAGGGAUCGAUAUUGUGACUAGGGUUUUGGGUGUUUUGCGUUUUGGUUUAACUGUUCGCGUGUUUGUGUAGUCUGAGAUAGGGGUGGACAUCGGUCGGACGUGGGUCGGAUUCGGUCCAAAAACCCCAAUCCGAUCGACAACCGCGGUUGAUAAACGGCAGUCCAUUUCUGACCAUUUUUUGUAUCGGUUAAAUCGGAUGUCGGGUUUCUCGGAUGGCGGUUUAGUUGGAUCGGUAUUUCGGGUUUCAAAAGAUGAAGAUAAAAGCUCAGAUCGAUGGUGGCCUGAAAAUGGAUCUUAAAAAACGAAUGUGAGAUGAGGGAGAUGAGGUUAGGGAUGAUGAGGUGGCAGAUGUGUUUUGAUAAAGUCAAAAAAGAAAAUAAAGAAAAAUGAAUAGGUAAGUGAAGUAUAGCCGGUGGAAACGUGUGUGUGUGAUAUGUUACUAGACUACU
rnacentral:lncRNA from 1 species